GGACUGGAGACUGGACACUCUCAGGGUGGAGCCUGGUGGAGUCCGAUGGUUGACACCAGGUCUGAGGAAGUAUUCCUGUCGACUCACAAUCGACACAAACACAGUGAACAGAAAACUCAAACUGUCUGACAACAACAGGAAGGUGACAGGAGUGAAGGAGGAUCAGUUAUAUCCUGAUCAUCCAGACAGAUUUGACUUCCAGCCUCAGCUGCUGUGUAGAACUGGUCUGACUGGUCGCUGUUACUGGGAGGUCGAGUGGAGAGGAGGAGUUGAAAUAUCAGUGAGUUACAGAGGAAUCAGAAGGAAAGGAGGCAGAGACUGUUUGUUUGGAUGUAACGAUCAGUCCUGGAGUCUGUACUGUUCUGAUGAUGGUUACUCUGUCUGGCACAAUAAGAUAUGGACAGAUCUCCCCUCCUCCUCCUCCUCCUCCUCCUCCUCCUCCGUCUCUAACAGAGUAGCAGUGUAUGUGGACUGUCCUGCUGGCUCUCUGUCCUUCUACAGAGUCUCCUCUGACUCUCUGAUCCACCUCCACACCUUCAACACCACAUUCACUCAACCUCUUUAUCGUGGGUUCUUCAUCUGGCCUGGUUCCUCAGUGUCUCUGUGUUGAGUGUAGCAGAGAGAGUCUCCUCCUGUUAGAGAUCAGUCCAGUCCAGGAUCACAGCAGCUGAUGUUAUUUAGUACCAACCUGAUCUCUGGCUGGUUUUAACUGCAGAGUGUAAACCCAACAUGUUUUUGUUGUCGACCACUUUAUCUGUUCAGUGCUGUUUUGAUGUGUCUUUCACUGGAGGAGGAGGCACCACUUAUCAUCCACUUACAGAGCAGUCUUGAGAUCAGGCAGUUUCACACCACAACUCAUUUGACCUCAAAGACUCUCAAGAUGUUAACAACCCCAGUGUAAACCCCUAGUCUCCCCACCAGUCAAUUAGAACUGUAGAACCUUUCAGAUGAGAGGUGGAAUGUCUUCAAGAACCUCGAGAACGUCCAGCUGCCUUCAUAUAAAACUGAGAACGUGACACUUACUGUUCAUGAAAUGAAAAGUAUUAAAGGUUUUCUGUGUGGAGUUUGCAUGUUCUCCCAGUGCCUGUGUGGGUUCUCUCUGGGUACUCCGGCUUCCUCCCACUGUCCAAAGACAUGCAGGACUCAUGGGGGUUUUACUAUCCAGUCUACAUGUGUCUUGUGGACUUGGAGAAGACCUAUGACCAUGUUCUACAAGGGACCUUGUAGGGGGUACCAGGGCUGCUUGUGAUAUUCAUGGACAGGAUGUCAAGGUGAAGCCAAGCCAACCCUAACCUAUAGUCCUGAGCUCUGGGGAGUGACCAAAGAUGAGAUCAUGGAUACCAGAAGUGGUAGUUUCCUCCACAGGGUGCCUGGGCUUCGCUUUAGAGAUAGAAUGAUGAGUUUGGACAAGGAGAGAGCUCAGAGUAGAGAUGCUAUAUUGUAUCUAAAGGAGCCAGUUGAGGUGGUUCGUGCAUCUGAUCAGGAUGCCUCCAGGGUGCCUUCCUUCAGAGGAUUUCCAGACACCCAAUUGAGAGGAGACCCAAGACAGACCCAGAACUCGCUGGAGAGAUUACAUAUCCCAUCUGACCUGGGACCUCAGGAUCCCUCAGGAGGAGCUGGAAAAUGUUGCUGGGGAGAUGGAAGUCUGGAAUAGUUUGUUUAGCCUGCUGCCACUGUGACCUGACCCCAGAUAAGAUGGACGGAUGGGUUUAGGCAAAACCUAAUAAAUUAUCUUCAUUUUUAUAAGUUUGUUGUCGUGAAAUUCUGAGUUUUCUCAUUAAGAAUGUUUACAGUGUUUGUUUAAAGAACACACACACCACAGAAGUCAGUGAAACAAAGUGCAAAAGUCUCAUCCUGCAGAAACUUUAUAACAUCAGAUUUCCAUCAUGAAAUAUAAACACACACAGACAUCUUUGUUCUAAUGCUACAUCUUCCCUCUCAUCGUCCCCUUUCAAAAUAAAACAAUUAUUAUCUCUGUUCUGCAAAAACUCUAAAGACACAGAAAAAAUAGAUUUACACCUGAAAUCAGAGCCAGAAGAGGAGGAACAGAGUUUGUGCUUUCAGUGCAGUAAAGACAAUUAGAGUUCAGUUAGUAUUCAGUCAGUGCCCUGGUUCAGUCUGUUCAUGUGUAUAUAUACUGUAUGUAAAACAUCUGCAUUCUGCAUCAAACCACAGUUAAAGGAGAACUCUGGUGUUUGGCUGAUCUGGGAGGAUUUUAAUGGAUCAGGUUGUUGUGGGUUUUAGUAUCUGAGGAUCAGGUCACAUCGAAUCCAUUCUCCAGUUCAAACUGAGAAAAUAAAGAGAUUAAAAACUAAAUCAAAGCUCAAACUCUGGUGUGUGUGUGGGAGCUGUGGCUACCGGUGGACUCCUUUCUGUGAAAGGAGGGUGUGGAUUGAUUAACUUUGACUUACCUGUGUUGGCUUUGCACUAGUGUGUGCUGAUUGUAGUUUAUCCUGGUCCCUUGGUUAUUUUCUUCCGUUUGAGCACCAGUGUCUUUCAUUUGUGAAUAAACUCAAUUUUUUUGGUUACACAUUGA